UAAGGACAUUCAGACCCAGGCAUGGGGAGUCAAAGUGUAAAGCAAUUUAAGUGGCAAAGAUCUCUGAGUGCUGUGUCCAGUAGUGGUGGAAUAAGGGAGUCAAUGACCCUGGCACCAAAAACAGAUCUGGACAAAAUGUAUGAAAUAAUGAAGGAUCACAGUGAUGAGUCAGAGGGCAGAGACCCAGGAGAAGGGUAGGGAUGUGG
rnacentral:lncRNA from 1 species